rnacentral:rRNA from 1 species
AACUGACGCUGAGGAGCGAAAGCAUGGGGAGCGAACAGGAUUAGAUACCCUGGUAGNCCAUGCCGUAAACGUUGGGCACUAGGUGUGGGGUCCAUUCCACGGAUUCCGUGCCGCAGCAAACGCAUUAAGUGCCCCGCCUGGGGAGUACGGCCGCAAGGCUAAAACUCAAAGAAAUUGACGGGGGCCCGCACAAGCGGCGGAGCAUGCGGAUUAAUUCGAUGCAACGCGAAGAACCUUACCAAGGCUUGACAUGCACUCGUAACACCCAGAGAUGGGUGCCCCGUAAGGCGGGUGCACAGGUGGUGCAUGGUUGUCGUCAGCUCGUGUCGUGAGAUGUUGGGUUAAGUCCCGCAACGAGCGCAACCCUCGUCCCAUGUUGCCAGCGGGUUAUGCCGGGGACUCAUGGGAGACUGCCGGGGUCAACUCGGAGGAAGGUGGGGAUGACGUCAAAUCAUCAUGCCCCUUAUGUCUUGGGCUUCACGCAUGCUACAAUGGCCGGUACAGAGGGCUGCGAUACCGUAAGGUGGAGCGAAUCCCUAAAAGCCGGUCUCAGUUCGGAUUGGGGUCUGCAACUCGACCCCAUGAAGUCGGAGUCGCUAGUAAUCGCAGAUCAGCAACGCUGCGGUGAAUACGUUCCCGGGCCUUGUACACACCGCCCGUCA